UUAACACAUGCAAGUCGAACGGUGAAGCCCAGCUUGCUGGGUGGAUCAGUGGCGAACGGGUGAGUAACACGUGAGCAACCUGCCCCUGACUCUGGGAUAAGCGCUGGAAACGGCGUCUAAUACUGGAUACGAGUAGCGACCGCAUGGUCAGUUACUGGAAAGAUUUAUUGGUUGGGGAUGGGCUCGCGGCCUAUCAGCUUGUUGGUGAGGUAAUGGCUCACCAAGGCGUCGACGGGUAGCCGGCCUGAGAGGGUGACCGGCCACACUGGGACUGAGACACGGCCCAGACUCCUACGGGAGGCAGCAGUGGGGAAUAUUGCACAAUGGGCGCAAGCCUGAUGCAGCAACGCCGCGUGAGGGAUGACGGCCUUCGGGUUGUAAACCUCUUUUAGCAGGGAAGAAGCGAAAGUGACGGUACCUGCAGAAAAAGCGCCGGCUAACUACGUGCCAGCAGCCGCGGUAAUACGUAGGGCGCAAGCGUUAUCCGGAAUUAUUGGGCGUAAAGAGCUCGUAGGCGGUUUGUCGCGUCUGCUGUGAAAUCCGGAGGCUCAACCUCCGGCCUGCAGUGGGUACGGGCAGACUAGAGUGCGGUAGGGGAGAUUGGAAUUCCUGGUGUAGCGGUGGAAUGCGCAGAUAUCAGGAGGAACACCGAUGGCGAAGGCAGAUCUCUGGGCCGUAACUGACGCUGAGGAGCGAAAGGGUGGGGAGCAAACAGGCUUAGAUACCCUGGUAGUCCACCCCGUAAACGUUGGGA
rnacentral:rRNA from 1 species